rnacentral:rRNA from 1 species
GGGGAAUUUUGGACAAUGGGGGCAACCCUGAUCCAGCCAUGCCGCGUGAGUGAAGAAGGCCUUCGGGUUGUAAAGCUCUUUCAGACGGAAAGAAACGGUCACGGCGAAUACCCGUGACUAAUGACGGUACCGUAAGAAGAAGCACCGGCUAACUACGUGCCAGCAGCCGCGGUAAUACGUAGGGUGCGAGCGUUAAUCGGAAUUACUGGGCGUAAAGCGUGCGCAGGCGGUUUCGUAAGACAGAUGUGAAAUCCCCGGGCUUAACCUGGGAACUGCAUUUGUGACUGCGAGACUAGAGUGUAGCAGAGGGGGGUAGAAUUCCACGUGUAGCAGUGAAAUGCGUAGAGAUGUGGAGGAAUACCGAUGGCGAAGGCAGCCCCCUGGGCUAACACUGACGCUCAUGCACGAAAGCGUGGGGAGCAAAC